rnacentral:rRNA from 1 species
UGGGGAAUUGUUCGCAAUGGGCGCAAGCCUGACGACGCAACGCCGCGUGGAGGAUGAAGAUUUUCGGAUCGUAAACUCCUGUCGAAUGGGACGAAUGGCCCGGCCGUGAACAACGGCUGGGAAUGACGGUACCGUGAGAGGAAGCCCCGGCUAACUCCGUGCCAGCAGCCGCGGUAAUACGGGGGGGGCAAGCGUUGUUCGGAAUUACUGGGCGUAAAGGGCUCGUAGGUGGCCACCUAAGUCCGACGUGAAAUCCCUCGGCUCAACCGGGGAACUGCGUCGGAUACUGGGUGGCUUGAAUCCGGGAGAGGGACGUGGAAUUCCAGGUGUAGCGGUGAAAUGCGUAGAUAUCUGGAGGAACACCGGUGGCGAAGGCGGCGUCCUGGACCGGUAUUGACACUGAGGAGCGAAAGCCAGGGUAGCAAACAGGAUUAGAUACCCUGGUAGUCCAAGCGGUAAACGAUGGGUACUAGGUGUCGGGGGUAUCGACCCCCUCGGUGCCGCAGCUAACGCAUUAAGUACCCCGCCUGGGGAGUACGGUCGCAAGAUUG